rnacentral:lncRNA from 1 species
GUCGAGGAGGUGUGUAUAGCUUGCAUCUUGUUGAUGCUGCCUGUCUUUGCGGGCACGUUUAUUUAGAAGUUUGUUCCACUUGCCCGUAAUUCGCGCUUGUCCGCAACGUCGGGGAGAUAAUCACGUUGGGGAUAGCGAUGAAUUCCUCGAGAGACGCGUAGUCUGCUCGAUGGGAUGUGAAAAGACAGAUUCUUCAUCAUUUAAUGCCACGUGUGUGGGCUAUUGAAAGGUGCAAUUAUGACCUUGGGAGUACGCGUCUAUCUCUUCGUUUUACGAGGGGAUUUGUGGGUCGUUGGAUAGGCGCGUCUCUUCAAUUCUCAUCAGAUUGAAUCAGGGCCAUUUGAUGGUUUUUCUAAUAACCGUUGGAUUUAAUCAACGGUGACAACGCGCUAGGGUGCGUUGGUUCGCGAUGUAGGGCGUAUGAACUUCUAAGGCCUAUAAAUAGG